rnacentral:lncRNA from 1 species
AUUUUUUUGUUUGUUUGUUUAGAGCUUGGUUAAUUUGUUAGAAGACAAGAAGAAAAAGCUAUGAGGAAAAACUGCUGUUUUCCUACCUUCCAACUCAGAAAUGGGUGAUUCAAAUAAAAGAAAGGGAGUGUUUUUGCACCAGGAAAGUGGAAGUAUGAAGACUGGACCUCCAGUUAAGCACUGUAACUUGCCUUUUUUACCUGUGGUGUUCAGUUUUCCAGAUUUCAAAAUACGGCUCUUCUGGAAGUUUUCACGGAAACCGAGCCRGGGAGCCGGGGCUGCAGUUGGACACUGGAUAGUGAUCCAAGAGCACGAAGAAGAGAUGAAAGAGGAGAGGAGAGUGAGAGCGAGACACGCACCACCUGCAUAUCGCUCUCCUUUCAGAGUGCCCUAAGCAGCCAUUGUGCAGAGGAGUAAACCUGAAGCCAGAACAACAUCUCAUUUGUGAAAAGAAAAGGCAGGAGAGGGGAAUGGAAGAGAAAUGUUUGUCAUCAUGAUGCUGUUGGGGGUUCUCCCUCUGAAUUGACUGAAUUCCAAGCUUUUAAAACUCUUAUCUCAAUAUGCUCUAAUUUUUUAAKGCUUCUCUCUCAUUUAACAGUAUUUUGUGAAGAGGGAUGCUAGUGCAUGGGGGCAGCUUUCUCUGUUGGCAACAUGUAGUUUAGUUAUCUGGAAGGAUGGUCUGUGUGUAGAAURAGUUUUAGCAUUACUGAGUUUGUAACAUUGUGUUGCAGAGAAUGAAUUUGUUUACUGCWACAUUGCAAUUUAUAGUUAAUUUAAAAAUAAAGUACUAUAAUUAGAAAUUAGUAAAAGAGAA